GGGGUUUCGGGAAUGGUUCCUAUAUUUACGAAGUUUAUGGUGCUAAAAUAAUACUGAUGUUUCGCAAAGUUCUCCCAAGUCACCGCAUGGAAAUGAUGAUUAAGGCCAUGGUAUAUGGGGUUUCGGGAAUGGUUCCUAUAUUUACGAAGUUUAUGGUGCUAAAAUAAUACUGAUGUUUCGCAAAGUUCUCCCAAGUCACCGCAUCCUUACUCAAAACAUGUCUUUAAAAACCUG
rnacentral:lncRNA from 1 species